rnacentral:rRNA from 1 species
GAGGGGAAUAACGGCUGGAAACGGUCGCUAAUACCGCAUAACAUACUGGAGGGACAUCCCUUUGGUAUCAAAGAUUUUAUCGCUCGGAGAUGGGCUCGCGUCCGAUUAGGUAGUUGGUGAGGUAACGGCUCACCAAGCCGACGAUCGGUAGCCGGACUGAGAGGUCGAACGGCCACAUUGGGACUGAGACACGGCCCAGACUCCUACGGGAGGCAGCAGUGGGGGAUAUUGCACAAUGGGGGAAACCCUGAUGCAGCGACGCCGCGUGUGGGAAGACGGUCCUCUGGAUUGUAAACCACUGUCCCCAGGGACGAAGAUGACGGUACCUGGGGAGGAAGCUCCGGCUAACUACGUGCCAGCAGCCGCGGUAAUACGUAGGGAGCGAGCGUUGUCCGGAAUUACUGGGUGUAAAGGGAGCGUAGGCGGGACUGCAAGUUGGGUGUCAAAUCUACCGGCUCAACCGGUAGCCGCACUCAAAACUGCAGUUCUUGAGUGAAGUAGAGGCAGGCGGAAUUCCUAGUGUAGCGGUGAAAUGCGUAGAUAUUAGGAGGAACACCAGUGGCGAAGGCGGCCUGCUGGGCUUUUACUGAC